CACUCUGAGUUAAGGAUCUGACAUUGCUGUGAGCUGUGGUGUAGGCAGGCAGCUACAGCUCUGAUUCAACCCCUAGCCUGGGAAUCUCUCUAUGCCACGGGAGUGGCCUUAAAAACAAACAACACUAAAGGUUUCUCUGUUGGGGAAAAUAACUGGGGGAAACCAGAACGUCAUUGUCACAAAUGGACUCUCUUGUUGAAAACCUGAGAGGAAGGCAAGAAAACCAGAGAAAAAUCUACAAGUACUUGCAAAGCUGGGCAGCUUGGGCCCCUGGCUGCUGAGUUGUGCUUUGGGACACUGAUUGCAUGUGGCCUGUGGGCACCACUGGGGCAGCAGUGGUUGGUGAGCAAGACAGUGCUGUGAGGCCUGCAGGUUGACCAGUAACUAAAGGAAGCACCUGGGAUGCCAGGUGGCUCUUUCUGAUGCUGACAGUGUGAUUCUCCAGAGACCAAGGGUGGGGGGCGGGCUUAGUCCAAAAGGGGGGUUAGGCCCCUGCUGGAAGAGUUGGCCAGAAGGGAGUGUGAAUAGCUCAAAAAACAAAACAAAAAAAAUUGGACUACCAAAAGCAAAAACAGCUGAAAUGAAUGAAACCUUAUACACUUAAAGUCACUCCCAGGAGUUCCCGUCAUGGUACAGCAGAAAUGAAUCCAACUAGGAACCACAAGGUUGCGGGUUUGAUCCCUGGCCUUGCCCAUGGGUUAAGGAUCCAGCGUUGCCGUGAGCUGUGGUGUAGGUUGCAGACUCGGCUCGGAUCCCGCGUCGCAGUGGCUCUGGUGUAGGCUGGUGGCUACAGCUCCGAUUGGACCCCUAGCCUGGGAACCUCCAUAUGCCGCAGGAGCGGCCCAAAGAAAUAGCAAAAAAAAAAAAAAAAAAAGACAAAAAAAAAAAAAGAAAUAUGAUUGGUUGUUGCUAUAAAGAAAUGAGAUUUACCAGCGCAUCUUUGAAUGAAAGUCUUUAAAGAUUGAAGGGUGGUUUGGAUAUGUAGAUGGGGGACCUUGAAGAGAAGCUUCCAACCCUUGGCUUGGGGGUGACUCCUUUGGAGAGAUGUCUCGGCAUGGGCGUGCAGAGGUAGGACCCUUAGUUGUCACUUAACCCCUGCCUUGUCUGCUGAUGGCUACCCACACGACAGUGAGCGAUAAACCUUUCCAAGUGAGUAACAAGUCAACUCUGACCUAACCAGGGUAAAGCAGCUCUGGGUUUGGAUUUUAAAAGAAUAUCUUGGAAGAAGCCAAGAUGGAGAGAAGUUCUGGGCAGGACAGGAGCGUUGCAAGCAUUUCAGUCAAACUUCCUUAGUCCUUUAACAGAGCAAAUAUAUCUUACUAACAUCUGACAAAAUAAGGACCCCAGGGAGAACCACAUAUGAGUCUGUAUGAAGGCACUUUGGCAGAACUCAAGCCCUUGGUGCUCUAGACUCUCUCCCCAAAAUUCCUGCUAAAUCCUGGUGCCCAGCAUGAUGGUGCUAUAAAGUAGGAUUUGGGGUGAGAGGUCAUAAGGGUGGAGCCCCAGAUGGGGUUGGUGCCCCUAUAAAAGAGACCCCCUUCAUAGUCCCUUUGCCCCUUCCUCCAAGUGAUGGUGAGAAGCAGUAAGUCAUCCGUCUAUGAACCAGGAAGCAGGCCCUCACCAACUUGCCAGUGCAGGUUGAUCUUGAUCUUAACAGCAUCCAGAAAUGUGAGAAGCAGAUUUCUUGUUUAUCAGGCACCCAGGGUUUGGUAUUCUGUUACAGCAGCUUGAUUGGACUAAGAGCAAUAGCUGAGAUUAUCAAGCAGUAGAACAUCAGGGGUGUGUGUGUGUGUGCAAUGGGAACUUGGUUGCUUUGUGUGUGUGUGUGUGUGUGUGUGUGUGUGUGUGUUUCACAUAGAAGAUAUAAAAUCCUUACAAUAACCUCUUCUGAAGGUUAGGUGGUAUCACUCCCAUUUUACAGAUGAGGCCAUCUGAGGGUCUUUAGAAUCAGACCCAUGCUAUAGAAAGCUUAGCUUGCAUGGAGCAUCUAAGACAAGGCUAUCCAGUAGAACCUUCUGGGAUGAGGAACAUGGUCUGUCUGUGCCACCCAGUGCUGCACGUGGCUUCUGAGCACCCAAAAUGUGGUUUGGGGGCUGAGGAACUGAACUUUUGACUUCACUGUACUAUAUACAGCCAUGCGUGGCCCGAGGCUGCUGGGGUUGGAUGGUGCAGGUGAGGCCCUGGGAUAAUGUGACAUGAGUGGUUGUGUUCUCUGCUGGCUGUGGGGUGAGAACGCUGAACGCUAACCACUUGAUGUGGGUCCCCAGAACUUUGUCCCUUUGGAGAAAGAGUUCGCAUAGAGACAGAGUAGUGAGGCAAAUAAGCGUUUAUUAAGAGAGAAGAUGGGGGAGUUCCUGUUGUGGUGCAGCGGCAAUGAAUCCGACUAGAAACCAUGAGGUUCCAGGUUUGAUCCCUGGCCUCACUCAGUGGGUUAAGGAUCUGGUGUUGCCGUGAGCUGUGGUGUAUGUAGGUCACAGACGUGGCUUGGGUCUGGCAUUGCUGUGGUGUAGGCCAGCAGCAAUAGCUUCGAUUAGACCCUUAGCCUGGGAACCUCCAUAUGCCGCAG
rnacentral:lncRNA from 1 species